AUUGAACGCUGGCGGCAGGCCUAACACAUGCAAGUCGAGCGAGCGGCGGCCGGGUGAGUAAUGUAUGGGGAUCUGCCCGAUGGAGGGGGAUAACUACUGGAAACGGUGGCUAAUACCGCAUACUAUCGGAUGAACCCAUAUGGGAUUAGCUAGUAGGUGGGGUAAAGGCUCACCUAGGCGACGAUCCCUAGCUGGUCUGAGAGGAUGACCAGCCAAAAUGGAACUGAGACACGGCCCAGACUCCUACGGGAGGCAGAAGUGGGGAAUAUUGCACAAUGGGCGCAAGCCUGAUGCAGCCAUGCCGCGGGUAUGAAGAAGGCCUUAGGGUUGGAAAGUACUUUCAGCGGGGAGGCGUUACCCGCAGAAGAAGCACCGGCUAACUCCGUGCCAGCAGCCGCGGUAAGAC
rnacentral:rRNA from 1 species